rnacentral:rRNA from 1 species
UACGUAGGGGGCAAGCGUUAUCCGGAAUUAUUGGGCGUAAAGAGCUCGUAGGCGGUUUGUCGCGUCGGCUGUGAAAGCCCGGAGCUCAACUCCGGGUCUGCAGUCGAUACGGGCAGACUUGAGUGUUGCAGGGGAGACUGGAAUUCCUGGUGUAGCGGUGAAAUGCGCAGAUAUCAGGAGGAACACCAACGGCGAAAAGCACUCUGCUGGGCCGAACACUGACGCUGAGAGACGAAAGCUAGGGGAGCGAAUGGG